GCCUGUGGUCGUAGUGGCCGAGUGGCAACGGUAACGACUUUUAUUUAUCAUGUCGUGGGUUCGAGGCCCACCACGGACU